CUGGGCGUAAGGAUGCGUAGGCGGAUGUUUAAGUGAGAUGUGAAAUACCCGGGCUUAACUUGGGUGCUGCAUUUCAAACUGGAUAUCUAGAGUGUGGGAGAGGAGAAUGGAAUUCCUAGUGUAGCGGUGAAAUGCGUAGAGAUUAGGAAGAACACCAGUGGCGAAGGCGAUUCUCUGGACCAUAACUGACGCUGAGGCAUGAAAGCGUGGGUAGCAAACAGGAUUAGAUACCCUGGUAGUCCACGCCGUAAACGAUGAGUACUAGGUGUAGGAGGGUCCAACCUUCUGUGCCGCAGUUAACACAAUAAGUACUCCGCCUGGGAAGUACGAUCGCAAGAUUAAAACUCAAAGGAAUUGACGGGGGCCCGCACAAGCAGCGGAGCAUGUGGUUUAAUUCGAAGCAACGCGAAGAACCUUACCUGGACUUGACAUCCCCUGAAUUACUCGUAAUGGAGGAAGCCCUUCGGGGCAGGGAGACAGGUGGUGCAUGGUUGUCGUCAGCUCGUGUCGUGAGAUGUUAGGUUAGGUCCUGCAACGAGCGCAACCCUUAUCAUUAGUUGCUACCAUUAAGUUGAGCACUCUAGUGAGACUGCCCGGGUUAACCGGGAGGAAGGUGGGGAUGACGUCAAAUCAUCAUGCCCCUUAUGUCCAGGGCUACACACGUGCUACAAUGGUGAGUACAAUUAGAUGCAAACCCGCGAGGGUGAGCCAAACUAAAAAACUCAUCCCAGUUCGGAUUGUAGGCUGAAACUCGCCUACAUGAAGCUGGAGUUGCUAGUAAUCGCGAAUCAGCAUGUCGCGGUGAAUACGUUCCCGGGCCUUGUACACACCGCCCGUCACACCAUGAGAGCUGGCAACACCCGAAGUCCGUGAGGUAACCGUAAGGAGCCAGCG
rnacentral:rRNA from 1 species